rnacentral:rRNA from 1 species
UGGCGGCGUGGCUAAGACAUGCAAGUCGAACGGAUGUAGCAAUACAUCAGUGGCGGACGGGUGAGUAAAGUAUCGCUAAUGUGCCCUUGAGCCAGGGAUAGCUGUCCGAAAGGGCAGGUAAUACCUGAUAAAGUGACCUUGUCGCAUGACAGGGGUUCCCAAAGCCGUAAGGCACUCUUGGAGCAGGCGAUAUCGUAUCAGCUAGUUGGUGAGGUAACGGCUCACCAAGGCGAUGACGCGUAGCUGGUCUGAGAGGACGACCAGCCACAUCGGGACUGAGACACUGCCCGGACUCCUACGGGGGGCUGCAGUAACGAAUCUUCCGCAAUGCACGAAAGUGUGACGGAGCGACGCCGCGUGUGGGAUGAAGUCCUUUGGGAUGUAAACCACUGUCAGGGGAAAGAAAGUUCUGAUCUACCCCAGAGGAAGAGGCGGCUAACUCUGUGCCAGCAGCCGCGGUAAUACAGAGGCCUCGAGCGUUAGGCGGAAUCACUGGGCUUAAAGCGUGUGUAGGUGGAUGCCUAAGUACCUUGUGAAAUCCCACGGCUUAACCGUGGAAUGGCUGGGUAUACUGGGUGUCUUGAGCCACUCAGGGGCUACCGGAACAAGCGGUGGAGCGGUGAAAUGCGUAGAUAUCGCUUGGAACGCCUAUGGUGAAAACAGGUAGCUGGGGGUGUGCUGACACUGAGACAC